GACGUAGGGUGCGAGCGUUUGUCCGGAUUUAUUGGGCGUAAAGAGCUCGUAGGCGGCUCGUCGCGUCUGCCGUGAAAACCCGCAGCUCAACUGCGGGCUUGCGGUUGAUACGGGCGGGCUAGAGUUCGGUAGGGGAGACUGGAAUUCCUGGUGUAGCGGUGAAAUGCGCAGAUAUCAGGAAGAACACCAGUGGCGAAGGCGGCUUCCUGGACACCAACUGACGCUGGAGACGCGAAAGCGUGGGGAGCAAACAGG
rnacentral:rRNA from 1 species